AAAUGUACUUUGCUGUUUCUUUCACAGUUCAAAAAAUCUAACUAAUAUGCCUGUGGAUUAUUCUUCUGGGCUAAGCAUUUAAAAGUUGACUUCGGAUUAGCUGAGGGAUAGACAUGAAAAAAUACUUUGAUAAAGCUGGAGAAUCAGUGCGCUGAAUAUUUAAACCGCCAAGAGAAGCAGAGAGAAUUGUGAGCAAUGCUAAUCAAUAGAGCAUAUGUUUGGGAUGAAAUCAGCUAACCAGAGUUAGGAAUAAUAACGUAAAAAUGUAAUAUAAUUAUAAUAACAUACUGAUAUUUUGGAAUGAAAGUAGGUCAGUUCUUUCAAGGCCUCUCUGGGCUUGUGUUUCUACUCUAUAGUAGUUUAUUUAUUUUUUAUCCCCUUUUAAGUGUCAGUCUCCUUUUGAACAUAGUUGCAGCUUUACUGUUGCUUUUUAUAGUGUGUUCCACAUGUUAACCCUUUAUAAAUGCUUUUUUUUUUUUUUUUCAACCAGUGCAACAUAUACCCAAACUAUAGUGGAAUGCUUGUAACCACAAAGGCUUAAAACUUCACUAAUGAAUUAGUAACAAGAAGCCUGACAUUUUGCUUAUUAAAGGGUGGAGAAAGGGAAGGAAAUAAUGAUUUAUGUUCCUUUUUUUUUCCUCGAUUAACUCACAUUUGUGUACUGAAAAAUAUCAGAGCCAGGCAAUGAUAGGAGGAUAAAAUAAUCCAGAUGUCUUCAGUCCAUGCCAAAAAGAGUUGGCACUAAAGCUAAAACAGCUGUCCAGAAUCUCUCUGCUUGUUUUUGUGUUCAUCUCUGCACUCCGUUACACAGGGCAGCUGGAGCAGCCAGUAGCUGAACAUCCGACCACUUGCUGAGAUCCAUCUUUCAUUUAUUUUAUCUUCUUGCCUGCGUCUACGUCUAAUGACGUGGUAGGCUGAAGAAAGAAAGUUGAGAAGGUUUGCUUGUUUCUAUGCCAUACUCCUGAGGCACCUCUUGUCUGAUUCAAUGAGUAGUCUGGGAACACACUUGAACUCAUGCCAUUUUUAUUACUGGGCAGAGAGAGCUUCUUCCCAAGCAGCUGGCAGGAGGAUGCUGUGGCUUUGCCAUCUGUUUCUGCACUGCCUGCUGGAAUUCUUCUCUCACUGGAUGUGCCAUCACCAUCUAAUCAAGACAUGGAAGUGGUUACUGUUAAAGAGGCUGUCAUGAAAAACUCUUCUGCCUGAAGUGUUGUCAGAAGCUGUAGCAAUGACUAUUCUUCAGCUGCUAAUUCUCAGUAUUUCUUCCAUACCUUUGUUGUCUUGGUUUAUGAUCUACUGUGUGUAACUGUGGAUCCACAUGUUCAGAUAAACUGUUGUGUAACACUUAGGUAGACCAUGGAAGCAUAAGAUAAUCUCCUAUUUUUUUAAUCCUUAUAACAGCUUCCUGAGGUAUACACAGUAGCUGGUUACCUCAUACACUAGAAAUGCAAAUGUGGAUCCCCCCCACAUCUCCCAGCAAUAAGCUUUCACAGAAACGUAGGCACUGUCAUAUUUUUCUGUGGGCCACAAAUGCUGAGACCUUGGGCAGCUAAAGGGAAAAAAUAAAAAAUAAAAAAAUAAAAAAAAAGUGAAUUUCCUUUCUUCCUCUCUACAGUUUAGACUGACCUACCUGCCAGCAGGUCAUUAGGUGAUGCUGAAUAUGCCCUCCAUGUAAUUUGCUCUUUCAUAAAAAUAAAGUAUGAACAGUCAUCUUUGAG
ensembl:lncRNA